rnacentral:lncRNA from 1 species
UUGGUGUAAAAUCAAGAUUUCGCACCUGCUCUAACCCUAAGCCACGUUUUGGUGGCUGGGAUUGUGUCGGAAAUGCUGACGAUUUUGAAAAUUGUACUUUACAAAACUGCAUAAGUGUAAAAUUGAAUAUGGGUGUUAAUUUUAUUGAUGAAGAUUAUACUAACUGGAAAUUUGAACCAACAAAACUUAGUGUUAAAAUCCAUGAUGCUAUUGCUAAACUCUACAAGAGUCGAAAUAUAAAUAAAAAUUUUAAUAUUGUUAUACA